CACCUCUUUCAAAGCCUGUCAAGGAUGUACAAUUAAACCCUUCAGAUCCUGAUAAAGUCUGGACUUUGGAAGACUUUGUUGUCAACAAACCAGGCCCCCCCAUUAAGGGUAAACUAAGUGCUAGGAAGCCUCCAGCACGCCCUAAAAAAGACUCUCAUGGAUCAGCAGUCACCCCUAAAGAUCGCUUUAUAAACCCCCUGGCAAAAUCUCAUGCCCCACAAAGGAAAAAGUCUUGUAGACCCGGAGCAGUUGGAGCACCCCCAACACUGCCCAGUUCCUCCAAGUUAUGCAAAACCCCAGCAGCCCCUGGUGAUGCAGGGUUCAAGAGAAACCUAAUUACUGACAUUCCUAAGAAGACUCCUACACAUCCUAAAGAAACCAUACACGCCCCGGUAGAAACCCCUACAACCCAUUUCAACUCUUCUAGAGACAUCUCUCACGCCCCACAAAAGAAGAGAGGACGUACCCUCCGAUACUCUUGCGCAUCCCCUGUUUUACCUGGAAGCUCUAAGAUCUACAAAACCGCUGAAAGGAUAUUAAUCAUUGAUGACCCCCGUCUGAAGAAGGUCUCUGUAGCUACCCAGACUGAUUCACCGCCGUCCCUUGUCUCAGAUAAUCUUAAC